rnacentral:tRNA from 1 species
GGAGAGGUGGCAGAGUGGUCUAUGGCGUCAGUCUUGAAAACUGAAGUAGCGCAAGCUACCGUGGGUUCGAAUCCCACCCUCUCCGCCA